AGUGCAUUGCAAGGCUCUUCAUGGGCCAAGUGAAGAAGACCUUUCUCUCCUUGAAUGACCACAAGUUCCCAGGAGUUCCAGAAGAAGUGUGGCCCUGUGUGUGCACUGUGCCUGGGAUCACGUAGGAAGGUCAAGUGCAUUCUCAGGUCCUCAGUCGGCCGAGAGAAGAAGACCUUUCUGUCCCUGAUCACCGGAAGUUCACGGUGGAAUGACUGUGCGUGGCUCACCAUGGGCCACAGACCGGAGACCUUCCUCUGUAUUUUGAUGACCUGAGGUGCUGGUGAGCCCUGAGAAAAGUCGCUGUGGCAUGCACCUUGCCCCUGGAUUGCUCAGGAGGGUUGAGUGUAUUAAAGCUUCUUAGUCAGCCAAGAGCUGACCUUUUCUCCUUGGGUGACCAGACGUGCAUAGGAGUCCCAGAAGAAGUGUGUUCCUGUGUGUGCACCAUGCCUGCGAUCACUUAGGAAGUUCUCAGGUCAAGUGCUUUGCAGGCUUCUUUGGUGGCUGAGAGAAGACUUUUUCUCUUCUCAGAUGACUGGAGGUUCCCUGGAGCCCCAGAAGCAGUGUGGCCCUGAGUGUGCACCAUGCCUGGGAUCACGUAAGAAGGUGCAGUGGUCAUGCACUGCUCAUGGGGGGCUACAGAGAAGAGACCUUGCCUUUGAUGAAUGGAGAUGCCAGAAGCUUGAAAGAUGUGUGGUCCUGUGUGUGACCUUGGCUGUGGAUCGCUCAGGAAG